rnacentral:sRNA from 1 species
GCCAGGUGUGGCUGGGCUCACCUGUAAUUCCAGCAGCUCUGGAGGCUGAGGCAGGAGGAUCGUGAGUUCAAAUCCAGCCUCAG